rnacentral:rRNA from 1 species
UACGGAGGGGACUAGCGUUGUUCGGAAUUACUGGGCGUAAAGCGCACGUAGGCGGAUUUGUAAGUCAGGGGUGAAAUCCCGGGGCUCAACCUCGGAACUGCCUUUGAUACAGCAAGUCUUGAGUUCGAGAGAGGUGAGUGGAACUCCGAGUGUAGAGGUGAAAUUCGUAGAUAUUCGGAAGAACACCAGUGGCGAAGGCGGCUCACUGGUCCGGUACUGACGCUGAGGUGCGAAAGCGUGGGGAGCAAACAGG